UCAGGAUGAACGCUGGCGGCGUGCCUAACACAUGCAAGUCGAGCGGAGAUAAGUGAAGCCUAGCGAUUCUUAUCUUAGCGGCGGAUGGGUGAGUAACACGUGGGUAACCCUGCCCUACACUGGGGAAUAACAGCUGGAAACGGCUGUUAAUGCCGCAUAUGCGCACGGAGCCGCAUGGCUUUGGGCGGAAAGAUUUAUCGGUGGCAGGAUGGGCCCGCGCCGGAUUAACUAGUUGGCGGGGUAACGGCCCACCAAGGUGAUGAUCCGUAGCCGACCUGAGAGGGUGACCGGCCACAUUGGGACUGAGACACGGCCCAAACUCCUACGGGAGGCAGCAGUGGGGGAUAUUGCACAAUGGGGGAAACCCUGAAUGCAGCGACGCCGCGUGAAGGAUGAAGUAUUUCGGUAUGUAAACUUCUAUCAGCGGGGAAGAAGAUGACGGUACCCGACUAAGAAGCCCCGGCUAACUACGUGCCAGCCGCUGC
rnacentral:rRNA from 1 species